GCGAAAGCCGAAGUGGGAUGAAAAUCUGCUUUCCGACAGGAAGUGCGGGUUCGAAACCCGCCGUCCGCACCA
rnacentral:tRNA from 1 species